CUGUGUCACAGACUUGUUUACCCUCUGGAAUAACUGCGGAAAGGAAGUUUGAUUGUGUAUUGGAAUGUGAAAAGCACUAUAAGAAGAGGGUGUUCCAGGCCGGCAAGGAGAAGAUGAGAGAGCAGAGUUUAGUCACCUGCAGGGGAAACUCCAGUGAGGAACUCUGCCAUAAAUCAGCAUGGCUUCUCUGAUCGCUAACACACUGGCCUUCUUUGGCGUUCGAUCACUUUCCCAGAUGGCAGAGGUACUGAGAGCACGUCUUAUCUGCCGCCUGCUGAUGCACUGCCUGAGAAAGUUCCAGGCCUGUGCAUGACAUCAGCCGCUCCAUCGGCCGUCUGACGAGGGCUAUCAGUGGACCCCCUCGUUCCUCCCCUCUUUCACCUCUCUGGCUCUGGUGAUUUUGGACUAAUGAAGGGUCAGCAGGAGCAUUCCCAUGGACAACCAUACGAUGUUUGCUCAGUUGGCCCGCAGUGUUUUCUCAGGCCAAGCUCUGUACUUGUGAGGGUCACACAUGCUUCAUGAGGGGGAAACAGCUCGAUACUGAGAGUCUGAUAAUGUUUGAACUUUACAAGCACCACCUUUC